rnacentral:lncRNA from 1 species
GGUUUCGAUCAUACCAGCACUAAUGCACCGGAUCCCAUCAGAACUCCGCAGUUAAGCGUGCUUGGGCGAGAGUAGUACUAGGAAGGUGACCCCCCUGGGAAGUCCUCGUGUUGCAACCCCUUUUUUUUCGUUUUUUUGUUCUGCGCGCGCACGGCGGGCUCGAGGCGCGUGACAUAGGCCACGCAUGAGGGCGUAGGUGGGCAUGGGAUCAAGGCGUCGAAAGGUAUAAAGGAAUAAGGAGAUGGUAUUCUUCCGGUUGCGAUCAUACCAGCACUAAUGCACCGGAUCCCAUCAGAACUCCGCAGUUAAGCGUGCUUGGGCGAGAGUAGUACUAGGAAGGUGACCCCCCUGGGAAGUCCUCGUGUUACAACCC